rnacentral:lncRNA from 1 species
GUGGGUAAACAGUAGUUAAUUCUUGUUGAGGUAUUCAUUGUAACAAUGAAAUAUGCCAAAUUUGGUACAAUGUUUUCCAACUAUUUUGUGAUUUCCCUUUUUUUUUAAUAAUUUGUUUGUAGGUAUCUUUUAAGAAUUGUAGAGCUUGAUACAACUUCAAUUCUCCUGCAUUGAAAGAAAAUUAGAAAAUUUAAUGGGCUUAUACAUCACUAGUUUGCUUGUAU